CAGCUGUCGUCCUCAAGGACAUAAAUUAUUUGGGGUACAAGUAAACAGAUAGAUUAUAGUACUAUGUGAUAGCUUUGUUGUUUAUUUUGGCUUUACUGCAAGAUUGCAAAUCCCUUUGCAAAUCAGAAUGCUAUCCUAUUUCUCUGUACUCAAGUGCACGAGGUAGUGUUGGGCAUAAAGCAGAUGUUCAAUAAGCACACGUUACUAUUCAUUUCUGUUCAAUUUUAAAAUCACUUAUCGAGUGCCUGCUUCCUGGAACAGAGAGGGUACUGCUAGGUACGUAAUAGCUAUCGCAGUGAUUAUAUGCUGUCUCAAUGAAGAUUUGGGCUAACUGAUACACUAGCUUAAAAGUUUCACCUUCAUCCAAUCAAUUCACAUUUUCCUAAGUGGUUAUGCUACUUCAUUCCAUAAAAACACAGUUUUGCUUUUCCUAAAAUCUGAUUUACAUUUUCUCCUCCGGCAAACUGGGGAGCCUCGGCGUGCGCUUGCACGCAUGCGCACACGCCAGCGCCUGGCGAAGCGCCCCCGCCCGCGAGCACCUCCAGCCACCCGCAUCCGUUGCACGGCCGUUGGGUAGUGGCGAGCCGGCACCAUGUCCGCCGCGGGAGUGGCGUUGUUGUUGUCCUGCCUGAGCUGUUGCGGCUCGGCCCUGUGGAGGUAUUACAGUAACAGCCCAAACUACGACGUUUUUAGUACCAGAAGUACUAUUAAGUUAGAGUAUGAAGGAACAUUAUUUUCUGAGUGGAGUGCUCCAGCAGCUUGUUCUAUAAAAAAUAAAAGAUUACCCAAGACAGAACUACGAUGUUCUUCUCCUGGUAUUUAUGCUAUAAAACCAAUUGUUUCAGGCCCGAUUGUCAUUUUGUGGAUAUAUGAUCCGGAAAACGCGGACCCCAGUGAGUUGCUAUGGAAUGCCAGUGAACCUUCCCUAGUAGGUGAAAACAUUAUUAUUUUCAUAGAUAAAAUAAUAUGCUACAUUUCUUUUUUAAGAGCUGUGAAUAAUUUAUUCUAAGUAGCCUAAAACUAAAUACAUUUUAAUUAUCCACUAAAUUUAGUUUACUCAUUAUAGUGAUUUUGAACUUGUGCUCAAUCACUACAAUUAUAAAUCUUUCUUUAGAAUUCUUAUUGAGCAUUCUCCAUAUUUUCUGUGAACCUCAUUAUCCACAAAGGGGCUGACCAUUAAAAUGCUUUAAAGGUGUUUCUUGAGCAUCUACUUUGAAGUCAUCCUUCAGAAAUCUGUCUAGUUCUUUAUUGAAUGCUUUACCACUGGAGAUGAAUAAAGUACAAAACAGUGCAUAAAUAAGUCCUUCCUUUUAUCUCUUACAAAUUUAC
rnacentral:lncRNA from 1 species